rnacentral:rRNA from 1 species
UACCAGGGGAACUGAAACAUCUAAGUACCCUGAGGAAGAGAAAACAAGAGUGAUUCCGUCAGUAGCGGCGAGCGAACGCGGAACAGCCUAAACCGGUCAGCUUGCUGGCCGGGGUUGUGGGACGUCUCACAUGGAGUUACAAAGGAAUUGGUUAGGCGAAGAGGUCUGGAAAGGCCCGGCAUAGAAGGUAAAAGCCCUGUAGCCGAAAGUCAGUUCCCUCCGAGACGGAUCCCGAGUAGUGCGGGGCACGUGAAACCCCGUAUGAAUCUGGCAGGACCAUCUGCUAAGGCUAAAUACUCCCUAGCGACCGAUAGUGAAACAGUACCGUGAGGGAAAGGUGAAAAGCACCCCGGAAGGGGAGUGAAAUAGAACCUGAAACCGUGUGCUUACAAGAAGUCAGAGCCCUGUUUAUGGGUGAUGGCGUGCCUUUUGUAGAAUGAACCGGCGAGUUACGUUCCCGUGCAAGGUUAAGGUGAGAAGCCGGAGCCGCAGCGAAAGCGAGUCUGAAUAGGGCGAAUGAGUACGUGGACGUAGACCCGAAACCGUGUGAUCUACCCCUGUCCAGGGUGAAGGUGCGGUAACACGCACUGGAGGCCCGAACCCACGAAUGUUGAAAAAUUCGGGGAUGAGGUGGGGGUAGCGGAGAAAUUCCAAUCGAACUCGGAGAUAGCUGGUUCUCCCCGAAAUAGCUUUAGGGCUAGCCUCGGU